AGAGUUUGAUCCUGGCUCAGAUUGAACGCUGGCGGCAUGCCUUACACAUGCAAGUCGAACGGUAGAGGGGCAACCCUUGAGAGUGGCGAACGGGUGAGUAAUAUAUCGGAACGUGCCCAGUCGUGGGGGAUAACGCAGCGAAAGCUGCGCUAAUACCGCAUACGAUCUAUGGAUGAAAGCGGGGGAUCGCAAGACCUCGCGCGAUUGGAGCGGCCGAUAUCAGAUUAGGUAGUUGGUGGGGUAAAAGCCCACCAAGCCGACGAUCUGUAGCUGGUCUGAGAGGACGACCAGCCACACUGGGACUGAGACACGGCCCAGACUCCUACGGGAGGCAGCAGUGGGGAAUUUUGGACAAUGGGCGCAAGCCUGAUCCAGCAAUGCCGCGUGCAGGACGAAGGCCUUCGGGUUGUAAACUGCUUUUGUACGGAGCGAAACGGUCUGGGUUAAUACCCUAGGCUAAUGACGGUACCGUAAGAAUAAGCACCGGCUAACUACGUGCCAGCAGCCGCGGUAAUUC
rnacentral:rRNA from 1 species